GACGAACGCUGGCGGCGUGCUUAACACAUGCAAGUCGAACGGAAAGGCCCUGCUUUUGUGGGGUGCUCGAGUGGCGAACGGGUGAGUAACACGUGAGUAACCUGCCCUUGACUUUGGGAUAACUUCAGGAAACUGGGGCUAAUACCGUAUAGGAUCUCCUGCUGCAUGGUGGGGGUUGGAACGUUUCGGCGGUUGGGGAUGGACUCGCGGCUUAUCAGCUUGUUGGUGGGGUAGUGGCUUACCAAGGCUUUGACGGGUAGCCGGCAUGAGAGGGUGACCGGCCACAGUGGGACUGAGAUACGGCCCAGACUCCUACGGGAGGCAGCAGUGGGGAAUAUUGCACAAUGGGCGGAAGCCUGAUGCAGCAACGCCGCGUGCGGGAUGAUGGCCUUCGGGUUGUAAACCGCUUUCGCCUGUGACGAAGCGUGAGUGACGGUAAUGGGUAAAGAAGCACCGGCUAACUACGUG
rnacentral:rRNA from 1 species